UGAACGCUGGCGGCAUGCCUUACACAUGCAAGUCGAACGGCAGCACGGGUGCUUGCACCUGGUGGCGAGUGGCGAACGGGUGAGUAAUACAUCGGAACAUGUCCUGUAGUGGGGGAUAGCCCGGCGAAAGCCGGAUUAAUACCGCAUACGAUCUACGGAUGAAAGCGGGGGACCUUCGGGCCUCGCGCUAUAGGGUUGGCCGAUGGCUGAUUAGCUAGUUGGUGGGGUAAAGGCCUACCAAGGCGACGAUCAGUAGCUGGUCUGAGAGGACGACCAGCCACACUGGGACUGAGACACGGCCCAGACUCCUACGGGAGGCAGCAGUGGGGAAUUUUGGACAAUGGGCGAAAGCCUGAUCCAGCAAUGCCGCGUGUGUGAAGAAGGCCUUCGGGUUGUAAAGCACUUUUGUCCGGAAAGAAAUCCUUGGCUCUAAUACAGUCGGGGGAUGACGGUACCGGAAGAAUAAGCACCGGCUAACUACGUGCCAGCAGCCGCGGUAAUACGUAGGGUGCGAGCGUUAAUCGGAAUUACUGGGCGUAAAGCGUGCGCAGGCGGUUUGCUAAGACCGAUGUGAAAUCCCCGGGCUCAACCUGGGAACUGCAUUGGUGACUGGCAGGCUAGAGUAUGGCAGAGGGGGGGUAGAAUUCCACGUGUAGCAGUGAAAUGCGUAGAGAUGUGGAGGAAUACCGAUGGCGAAAGGCAGCCCCCUGGGCCAAUACUGACGCUCAUGCACGAAAGCGUGGGGGAGCAAACAGGAUUAGAUACCCUGGUAGUCCACGCCCUAAACGAUGUCAACUAGUUGUUGGGGAUUCAUUUCCUUAGUAACGUAGCUAACGCGUGAAGUUGACCGCCUGGGGAGUACGGUCGCAAGAUUAAAACUCAAAGGAAUUGACGGGGACCCGCACAAGCGGUGGAUGAUGUGGAUUAAUUCGAUGCAACGCGAAAAACCUUACCUACCCUUGACAUGGUCGGAAUCCUGCUGAGAGGUGGGAGUGCUCGAAAGAGAACCGGCGCACAGGUGCUGCAUGGCUGUCGUCAGCUCGUGUCGUGAGAUGUUGGGUUAAGUCCCGCAACGAGCGCAACCCUUGUCCUUAGUUGCUACGCAAGAGCACUCUAAGGAGACUGCCGGUGACAAACCGGAGGAAGGUGGGGAUGACGUCAAGUCCUCAUGGCCCUUAUGGGUAGGGCUUCACACGUCAUACAAUGGUCGGAACAGAGGGUUGCCAACCCGCGAGGGGGAGCUAAUCCCAGAAAACCGAUCGUAGUCCGGAUUGCACUCUGCAACUCGAGUGCAUGAAGCUGGAAUCGCUAGUAAUCGCGGAUCAGCAUGCCGCGGUGAAUACGUUCCCGGGUCUUGUACUCACCGC
rnacentral:rRNA from 1 species